rnacentral:ncRNA from 1 species
CGUCUCCUCCUUGUCUCCUCGACAUGGAUUCAACCCGCCUCCUUUGGCGGGUUUUUUUCG